GCGCCUGUAGCUCAAUUGGACAGAGCACGUGCCUUCUAAGUACGGGGUUGGGUGUUCGAUUCACCCCAGGCGCGCCA
rnacentral:tRNA from 1 species